ACUACCCUGUUAUCGGUGUUAUAACACCUGUCACAUAACUACCCUGUUAUCAGUGUUAUAACACCCAUCACAUAACUACCCUGUUAUCAGUGUUAUAACACCUGUCACAUAACUACCCUGUUAUCGGUGUUAUAACACCUGUCGCAUAACUACCCUGUUAUCAGUGUUAUAACACCUGUCACAUAACUGUUACCAGUUCUAUAUGAACUGUAUACAAAUGUAUUACAAUUUUGAUGUUUCAAAUUACAUUCAUUUCAACAUUUUGAAAGUGUUUUUAUCAUUCCUGUUUUCAGGAUUUUUUGCAAAAUUGAAUCUUAUAUUUUUCAUUCCAUAGUUUAAAACUUGUUACACAUUUUCCAUUUGAUCUGGUGAGAGGUAAAACUACAUGAGAAGUAGCUCUACUUUCAUACCUUAUUAUAAUCUGUGUGAAAGAAACAAUCACACAUCAUUUAUCAAACUUUAUCAGUUCAAUAAGGAUCAGUUUCAUAUCUUUUACUUUUUUCCUUUCCUGUACCUACAACUAAGAUUAGCCGUCCCUAUGGUUUUAGUUUUCUAUCUAUAUCUGUCUUAUUAAAUGUACCUUUAUUUCCCUGAUUAUAAUACAUUGACUGUAUUUUUAUGAUGAUGUAUGUUUAUAUCUUAUUUAAUUUGUUGAUAAUUUUGAACAGAAUUUGUGAUUACCCAGAACCUAGUCAUAUUAAUAAAUGAUAUAUAUACUGUAACCAAACAUUUGUAUGUGGUAACCAUGGUUACUGUGAAUAAGUAGAAGGCGUGGCCUCAGUCUCAUCAAUAUUCCUUAACUCGUCGAAAUUUCUUCGCUUAAAAUUCCCCAUAGGAAAGCAUUACAGAGUCUAAUGAAGAAUUCUUUAUGAAGAUUUCUUCCUAAAUCAAAUAAUACUUUAAGUUAAAGAAGUUUACCAAGUAGGGAAUGUUUUUAAGAUGAACCUUUUGUACUAUAUAAGUUUAAUACAGGUCUCUGGAUUAUCAUACAGAUAUGAUUACAUAGUUGUAUACACAUGUACUACAUUAUACAGACUUGUAGGUAAAGGUUUGGAUUGUGGUUUGACUGUCUGAUGUAGACUACACACAGACUUGUAGGUAAAGGUUUGGAUUGUGACUUGACUGUCUGAUGUAGACUACACACAGACUUGUUGGUAAAGGUUUGGAUUGUGACUUGACUGUCUGAUGUAGACUACACACAGACUUGUUGGUAAAGGUUUGGAUUGUGACUUGACUGUCUGAUGUAGACUACACACAGACUUGUUGGUAAAGGUUUGGAUUGUGACUUGACUGUCUGAUGUAGACUACAUUAUACAGACUUGUACGUAAAGGUUUGGAUUGUGACUUGACUGUCUGAUGUAGACUACAUUAUACAGACUUGUAGGUAAAGGUUUGGAUUGUGACUCGACUGUCUGAUGUAGACUACAUUAUACAGACUUGUUGGUAAAGGUUUGGAUUGUGACUUGACUGUCUGAUGUAGACUACAUUAUACAGACUUGUAGGUAAAGGUUUGGAUUGUGACUUGACUGUCUGAUGUAGACUACACACAUACUUGUAGGUAAAGGUUUGGAUUGUGGUUUGACUGUCUGAUGUAGACUACACACAGACUUGUAGGUAAAGGUUUGGAUUGUGGUUUGACUGUCUGAUGUAGACUACAUUAUACAGACUUGUAGGUAAAGGUUUGGAUUGUGGUUUGACUGUCUGAUGUAGACUACAUUAUACAGACUUGUUGGUAAAGGUUUGGAUUGUGGUUUGACUGUCUGAUGUAGACUACACACAGACUUGUAGGUAAAGGUUUGGAUUGUGACUUGACUGUCUGAUGUAGACUACACACAGACUUGUUGGUAAAGGUUUGGAUUGUGACUUGACUGUCUGAUGUAGACUACACACAGACUUGUUGGUAAAGGUUUGGAUUGUGACUUGACUGUCUGAUGUAGACUACACACAGACUUGUUGGUAAAGGUUUGGAUUGUGACUUGACUGUCUGAUGUAGACUACAUUAUACAGACUUGUACGUAAAGGUUUGGAUUGUGACUUGACUGUCUGAUGUAGACUACAUUAUACAGACUUGUAGGUAAAGGUUUGGAUUGUGACUCGACUGUCUGAUGUAGACUACAUUAUACAGACUUGUUGGUAAAGGUUUGGAUUGUGACUUGACUGUCUGAUGUAGACUACAUUAUACAGACUUGUAGGUAAAGGUUUGGAUUGUGACUUGACUGUCUGAUGUAGACUACACACAUACUUGUAGGUAAAGGUUUGGAUUGUGGUUUGACUGUCUGAUGUAGACUACACACAGACUUGUAGGUAAAGGUUUGGAUUGUGGUUUGACUGUCUGAUGUAGACUACAUUAUACAGACUUGUAGGUAAAGGUUUGGAUUGUGGUUUGACUGUCUGAU